rnacentral:misc_RNA from 1 species
GAUGAAGAACGCAGCGAAAUGCGAUAAGUAGUGUGAAUUGCAGAAUUCAGUGAAUCAUCGAAUCUUUGAACGCACAUUGCGCCCCUUGGUAUCCCGAGGGGCAUGCCUGUCCGAGCGUCAUUACAACCCUCAAGCUCAGCUUGGUGUUGGGCCCCGCCGCCCCGGCGGGCCCUAAAGUCAGUGGCGGUGCCGUCCGGCUCCGAGCGUAGUAAUUCUUCUCGCUCUGGAGGCCCGGUCGUGUGCUCGCCAGCAACCCCCAAUUUUUUUCAGGUUGACCUCGGAUCAGGUAGGGAUACCCGCUGAACUUAAGCAUAUCAAUAAGCGGAGGA